GGAGAAUUACCCAAGUGGUUGAAGGGACCGGUCUUGAAAACCGGAAGGAGAUGCAAGUCUCGCUAGGGUUCGAAUCCCUAAUUCUCCGCCA
rnacentral:tRNA from 1 species